rnacentral:lncRNA from 1 species
AAGCUGCUCUGCUGCAGAAACGUAGUAUACCAGACAUACUGUCUGUUAUUAAAUGGCUUCUUAAUAUUGGAAGGAGCAUCAGCUUGAUUUUGUGUUCUGCUAGAUUGGUAUAAUUCAAGUGAAUUGUUAUACUUGUAUUAUACCAGUGAAGUGCGCUGACAGGAGAUUCAAGUCAUGAAAUUAUAGAAAGGCAAAAUAUACUGUGUAAUAAGCAGAUCAAGAGUGGAGUCCUUACUCAGCUUAUAUUUUGCCCUUAUUCUUACAACACUUCUGCUGACUCUGAACUGAUCAAGUCAGGAAAACCUGAGUCAGGAAUUGGCUGCAAAUUAGGGAAGAUGAGGCAGCUACUUCCUAGCUUAAUGGGCCAUAUGUUUAACAGUGUACAGAUUUUAUAUUCGCAUCUGCUGCUGACGUCUCUCUUUUGUCCCUAUUUCCCACCAAGCCAUAAAAUGCAUUGCAAACAAGAAUGAAGGACAUUCUGCUAAUGCAGACAACGACACUUGUUUAGAUGCUUGUGCAAAGCAGCCCCUGCUCCACAAUGCUGAAUCAGCACUCCAUGGCUUUCCAUCUCAUUGUCAACUUAAAGGGCCUGAAAGAGUUCACUGUCCCACUGAAAUCCCUUCCUCAACAAACUGUGGCAGGCAGCUAGGAGAAAAGUGAGUGAAAUUU